AAAGAAAAAGAAAAAGAAGAAAAAAGUUGGUGGUUAAUUUAGGAAAAAGAAAAGGGAAUUAGGGUUAUAAAGGUGUUUUGGUCCCUAAGAGAAAAAAAAGGAAAAAGGAAAUUCCUUUUCUCUUCUUAUUCUUUUUCCAGAAUUGCAACCCCCCAUUAUACAUCUCUGCCGCUGCCGCUCGAUCGUGGGUCUGCCAGCCGCGAUUGUCCUCGCCGAUCGUUUUUUCUUCCCCAUCCGCUGCUCGACCAUGGGUUUCGGUCGUUAGCUUCGAUCGCCUUCAAUCGCUCGACUGCGGGUCUCCAGCCGUGCCAGGUUCUUCGACCAUUUUCUUUUGUCGCCGUGCUCUGUCCGCCAGCCGCCGAUCUAAACCCCAAGCGCUGUUCGUCUGUCGUCGAUUCUGGUAGCCGUCGGAUCGCGGCAGUCCAGCCGAUCUGUCUGUUGGGGAACGUGUAAAGUUUCGUUUUGGGACAGAUCGUUAUCCAAGUGGUUUACUACCGGUUUUGCCCUAAGAUUUUGAUAAACCUGCUGAAAAUGAAAAUUUUACUGGGAUAGUGUGAUAAGGCCUGAUGUACGGGUAAUGACAGACUGGCACAUGACAAGAGAGAUCCGUGACUUGGCCAUUAGGACGAUUUACUGCUUCCGCACUUAGUACCAUAUCUUGAAGUCUGGUUUAAGAGUUAGGCAUUUUAUACUUUCAUGCAAAAUUUUUUAAUUUUAUUAUUUGACUAUUUAAUUGCCUUCAUUUUAAAGUUGGGUUUAGGGGUACCCGAACGGUAAAUUUUUAUUUUAUUUUACUUUAUUUUUGUUUUAGUUUAUUUAUUAUUAUUUAAUUAUGUUUUUCUUAUCUUUGCUCAUUUGAGCAUUAUUAAAUAAAAUUCGGCUUUUUUAUUUGAUGGUUUAAAAGAAAAUGUACGGUUAAGCCUAUUCAUGCAUGAAGUAGCAUCCUAGAAAUAAGUAGGAAACUAAGGUUGUUACAGAGGAUGCCUAGUUCAGGUCAAUGAAUUAAUUUUUCCUACUGAUUUCUAUGUUCUUAAAAUAGAGGAGCCCACAUCUAUCUCAUCUGCAUCCAUCUUACUUUGCUGACCUUUUAUGAAGACAACCAAGACUAAGAUAGAUGUGGAUGAGGGCACUUUGUCAGUGGAGUUCGAUGGUGAGUUUGUUAAAUUUAAUAUUUUCGAUGCCAUGAAAACUUCCACCAGUGCAAGUACAUUCUUUAUGCCAGAUUGAUGUGUUUGGCUCUCUUGAGCAAGAGGUUAUAUGGGACGUUUAUGACAACAAUGAGGAUGAUUUAGGGGAGUUGAUCCCAUUUGGAGAGCUUACCACCUUAUCUAUGAUAGUGCCGGUAGGUAUGCCUUCAUAUUUUGAUGAUGAAUCUUUCGACAAGGUUCUUCCUUCUGUUUUGCGGGCACCUAAAUUGAAGCUGAAGAAGCUUCCAAACCACCUGAAGUACACCUGUCUGGGGGAAGCUGAGACCUAACCUAUCAUCAUUUCAAGGGACCUGACUGAGGAACAAGAAAAGUAGGUGGUGAAGGUAUUACAAAAGCACAAGCUGGCCAUUGGAUGGACAUCGACCGACAUAAAAGGUAUUAGCCCUACGAUAUGUAUGCAUAAAAUUACCUCGGAGGAUGGAGCUAAGCCUUAUCGACAACCUCAACAACCACUGAAUCCUUUCUUGAAGAAGGUAGUCAUGAAAGAGGUCUUCAAACUCUUGGAUGCAGAUAUUAUCUAUCCUAUCCCUGAAAGUGAGUGGGUUAGCCCUCUUCAUGUAGUGCCAAAGAAAACGGGUAUUACUGUGGUAAAAAAUGAUGAAGGUAGUUUAAUUCCUGUUAGGGUUCAGAAUGGGUGGAGAAUGUGUAUAGAUUUCAAGAAAUUGAAUGCUGUAACUAGAAAAGACCACUUCCCCAUUCCUUCAUUGAUCAGAUGCUUGAAAAGCUAGCUGGAAGACCCUUCUUCUGUUUCCUCGAUGGUUUUUCGAGUUUCUAUAAGAUCUCGAUUAGCCAGAAGGUCCAACAGAAGACGACCUUUACAUGUCCCUAUGGCACCUUUGCCUUCAAAAGAAUUCCAUUUGGACCUUGUAAUGCUCUGGGCACCUUUCAACAUUGUAUGAUGUCCAUAUUUUCUGAGUUUAUUGAAAAAUGCACAAAGGUUUUUAUGGAUGACUUUAUUGUAUACGGAGACUUAUUUGCUGAUUGUCUGUCUAAACGACCUUUACAUGUCCCUACGACACCUUCGCCUUCAAAAGAAUUCCAUUUGGACCUUGUAAUGCUCCGGGCACCUUUCAACAUUGUAUGAUGUCCAUAUUUUCUGAGUUUAUUGAAAAAUGCACAAAGGUUUUUAUGAAUGACUUUAUUGUAUACGAAGACUUAUUUGCUGAUUGUCUGUCUAAUUUAUCUAAAGUGCUAGAAAGAUGCAUUGAGUCUAACUGUUGAACGCUAGGAUUGAUCUUAAAAAGAUAUGCUAUUCUAUGCGCGAAAUGAUGCGAUACUACUUCUAGAUAUGCGUUAAUUAUGAAUAUUCUUGUAGUAUGCCUUGCGUUGUCACAAGUUUCCUUACGUUGGAACCAAGUGUAAUUCCACCGCAAGUUUCUCGGUGUGA